rnacentral:rRNA from 1 species
CCCUAUUAUUGAAAAUGUAAAUAUAAAUGCUUGAGUAUUAGUAGCUAUGUUCUUGAAAUUUAAAGGAUUUGGCGGUAUUAUAGUCUAUUCAGAGGAACCUGUCCUAUAAUUGAUGAUCCACGAUUAAUCUUACUUGUUUUANAGAGGUUUGUAUAUCGUCGUAGGUUGAAUGUUUUGAAAGGAAGAGGAAUAUUCAAGAUAUUAGGUUAAAGAGGAAAUCAGAUCAAGAUACAGCGGAUAGACAAGGAGAGAUGGGUUACAAUAAAUUUAUUUAUAUUGUUGAAAUAGUUAUCCCUUUUUUUUGAAGUUGUUUUUAUUGUUAUAUAUUUUAGUUACUCUAUCUGACUGUAGUUCUAUACUCUUCUCCUAUCGCCCGUCGCUCCUGCUCUAAAGCAGGAUAAGU